rnacentral:misc_RNA from 1 species
UACAGAGGGUGCGAACGUUGCUCGGAAUUACUGGGCGUAAAGCGCGUGUAGGCGGUCUGCCGAGUCCGCUGUGAAAGCCCAUGGCUCAACCAUGGAAGUGCAGCGGAUACUGGCAGACUCGAGUCCUGGAGAGGGUGGCGGAAUUCCCAGUGUAGAGGUGAAAUUCGUAGAUAUUGGGAGGAACACCGGUGGCGAAGGCGGCCACCUGGACAGGUACUGACGCUGAGACGCGAAAGCGUGGGGAGCAAACAGG